AAUCUUAUCUGGCAAAGGAGAGACAGUGAUCAGAAAGGCGGUUCUCCCAGGAUGAGGCUAUCCCAUUGCACUUCGGUGUGCUGACGCCUGUGAUGUCUCCAAAUACUUGAUACUUGACUGCAAAAGUUGUGGUAGUGGGGGACAGCGUUCACGUUCAUUUUAU